ACAACCCGCAAGGCCGACGCACAACGCGCCGCUGGUGCAAGCCCAGCCGCCCCCACACGGGGCGGGCGCUCAUGGGUACAAG
rnacentral:ribozyme from 1 species